rfam:Ipomoea nil DNA, scaffold: scaffold2441, cultivar: Tokyo-kokei standard.
GUCAAUAUGUCUGAGUGGUUAAGGAGAUAGAUUUGAAAUCUAUUGAGCUUUGCCUGCGUAGGUUUAAAUCUUGCUGUUGAUG